GAUGAACGCUGGCGGCGUGCCUAAUACAUGCAAGUCGAGCGAACAGACGAGGAGCUUGCUCCUCUGACGUUAGCGGCGGACGGGUGAGUAACACGUGGAUAACCUUCCUAUAAGACUGGGAUAACUUCGGGAAACCGGAGCUAAUACCGGAUAAUAUAUUGAACCGCAUGGUUCAAUAGUGAAAGACGGUUUUGCUGUCACUUAUAGAUGGAUCCGCGCCGCAUUAGCUAGUUGGUAAGGUAACGGCUUACCAAGGCAACGAUGCGUAGCCGACCUGAGAGGGUGAUCGGCCACACUGGAACUGAGACACGGUCCAGACUCCUACGGGAGGCAGCAGUAGGGAAUCUUCCGCAAUGGGCGAAAGCCUGACGGAGCAACGCCGCGUGAGUGAUGAAGGUCUUCGGAUCGUAAAACUCUGUUAUUAGGGAAGAACAAAUGUGUAAGUAACUAUGCACGUCUUGACGGUACCUACUCAGAAAGCCACGGCUAACUACGUG
rnacentral:rRNA from 1 species